CGAUAUAUUAAUACUGCCGGGCAACCGGCUAUGGCGCUAAACACCAUACGGAAUAAGCGUUGCGGACCCGGGGGCGGUACCCGGCGCCUCCACCAAAUCCGGGCCUUCGGGCGGGAGAUCAGGGGGGCGAAACAGGAUCGACGCGCGUGGUAAAGGUUUGGCUUGCACCCGGCAUGAUUCCGCCGUUAUCGGGUCGAACACUACAGAUGCUAACGAUAACGUCGUUGCUCUCGCUGCCUAACUAGGUAAGCGCGGUUCGGGGGGCGCCGGGCAACAGAAGCCCCCCACUUCCCGCCCCGUCCGCGUUCCCGCACCGGGGCGUUCCGUUCGAA
rnacentral:tmRNA from 1 species